rnacentral:rRNA from 1 species
GCAUAUCAAUAAGCGGAGGAAAAGAAACCAACGAGGGAUUGCCCCAGUAACGGCGAGUGAAGCGGCAAGAGCUCAAAUUUGAAAGCUGGCUCCUUCGGGGUCCGCAUUGUAAUUUGCAGAGGAUGCUUCGGGAGCGGUCCCCAUCUAAGUGCCCUGGAACGGGACGUCAUAGAGGGUGAGAAUCCCGUAUGGGAUGGGGUGUCCGCGCCCGUGUGAAGCUCCUUCGACGAGUCGAGUUGUUUGGGAAUGCAGCUCUAAAUGGGUGGUAAAUUUCAUCUAAAGCUAAAUAUUGGCCGGAGACCGAUAGCGCACAAGUAGAGUGAUCGAAAGAUGAAAAGCACUUUGAAAAGAGAGUUAAAAAGCACGUGAAAUUGUUGAAAGGGAAGCGCUUGCGACCAGACUCGCUCGCGGGGUUCAGCCGGCAUUCGUGCCGGUGUAUUUCCCCGCGGGCGGGCCAGCGUCGGUUUGGGCGGUCGGUCAAAGGCCCUCGGAAGGUAACGCCCCUAGGGGCGUCUUAUAGCCGAGGGUGCAAUGCGACCUGCCUAGACCGAGGAACGCGCUUCGGCUCGGACGCUGGCAUAAUGGUCGUAAGCGACCCGUCUUGAAACACGGACC